UGUAAUUAUGCAUCCUAGCUAAGGCACAGAAGACUGAAUGAAUUGCAAGGAUUCAUUAACUCUUGGAAUUUGUUAAGUACUAACAGUUAUCCAUUAGAAGUGGUUCAAUGAUGUAAGAGUCUCACUGCUUCAAUCUUUUCAUUGUCGUAGUUUUUAAAUUGUCAAUUUUUAGCUAUUUGACAGAUUAAAAGCAAAAUAAUCAUGCCAUAUUUAGUCUGGAGUUCAAGUCUGAAUGUUUAUGUGAAAAAUUAUUGUAGCAAACUUUUAAUAUGGCAAAGCAACCUUAUGCUCUAUUUUAGCCAAACAGUACAUAAUCUAAAAUUAUAUAUUAGAACAUUUCCCUUGUCUUCAAACUAUUUGAUGUAACAAAUAUGCAGCCUGGUGGGCUUCACCAAUUAAUGCACAUCCCCUCCUCUCCAGUUACAUGUACACUGAGAAUAUGCGUUGGUUUGAGGGAUUAUUUUGUUUCUACCACUUAAUGAAUCUCAACAUUUUGAGUAAAUGUACCUCAGUCUAAUCAGACUUUUUAUGACCUUUAUAACUACAUUUAAAACCCUUAAAUUCUAUUUCUGGGUGUUUGCGAGCCUGAUUGCUAUCAUGAAGUAAAAAUUUAUUACUCUAGGUAUUCACUAGAUAAAUAUAGUUCUUGUUUAGUAAGCAUAUACUGUUUCUCAACUCUUCUCCAGCUUUUGCAGUGUACUGGCAUCCUUAAAAUACUUUGAAAAUAUGGCCUUGAUCCAUGAAUUAAAUCAGUAUCUAAGUGAAUGUGUUGAUGUUUUAUUGAUGAGAUCUAUAUACAUGGGAAUACAGUAUAUAUCUGGGUAUUCUUAUAGAUAAUCUUUUUAACAUCCUAUUUUUUUCAUUAAUUACAUAUCAACAUUAAUUUUGUAUCUUGAAACAAAUUGAUUUUGUAUAAUUGAAUGUGUUGUGCAUCUGUAUUUGAUUUGAUGGUAUAAGGUUAUGAAAAUAAUGUCCUGCCCCUUAUAUUACUGUUUUGAAAGGAGAAAGCUAUGUAGAAUGAUAUGUUAAGGGUGAAAAUAGCAAUACAGUAGAUUUGAAUGUCUUUUUGAUCUGCAUUAGUUCAUUUAUGUUUACAUCGUAGUUAGAGAUCUUUUCAUUUGCUCUUGUCUUUGCUCACUUCAAUUUGAAAGCCUCAUGACACAUAUUUCUUUGAAACUUUGAUUUAUAUAAUUUUUAUAAAAU
rnacentral:lncRNA from 1 species